rnacentral:rRNA from 1 species
AAAGUUGGGACACAACGCAAACAGAUGGAUCUGCGGUGCAUUAGCUAGUUGGUGAGGUAACGGCCCACCAAGGCGAUGAUGCAUAGCCGGCCUGAGAGGGCGAACGGCCACAUUGGGACUGAGACACGGCCCAAACUCCUACGGGAGGCAGCAGUAGGGAAUUUUCGGCAAUGGGGGAAACCCUGACCGAGCAAUGCCGCGUGAGUGAAGACGGCCUUCGGGUUGUAAAGCUCUGUUGUAAGGGAAGAACGGCAUAGAGAGGGAAUGCUCUAUGAGUGACGGUACCUUACCAGAAAGCCACGGCUAACUACGUGCCAGCAGCCGCGGUAAUACGUAGGUGGCAAGCGUUAUCCGGAAUUAUUGGGCGUAAAGGGUGCGUAGGCGGCGAGAUAAGUCUGAGGUAAAAGCCCGUGGCUCAACCACGGUAAGCCUUGGAAACUGUCUGGCUGGAGUGCAGGAGAGGACAAUGGAAUUCCAUGUGUAGCGGUAAAAUGCGUAGAUAUAUGGAGGAACACCAGUGGCGAAGGCGGUUGUCUGGCCUGUAACUGACGCUGAAGCACGAAAGCGUGGGGAGCAAAUAGGAUUAGAUACCCUAGUAGUCCACGCCGUAAAAGAUGAGAACUAAGUGUUGGGGGAAAUCCGUCCCGCAAAUAACGCAAAAAGUUUUCCCCCUGGGGAGGAUGCACGCAAGGGGGAAAAUCAAAGGAAUGGACGGGGGCCCGCACAAGCGGUGGAGUAUGUGGUUUAAUUAGACGCAACGCGAAGAACCUUACCAGGCCCCGACACGGUAUCAAAGGCCCUAGAGAUAGGGAGAUAGUUAUGGUACACACACGCGGUGCAUGGUUGUUGUCAGCUCGUGUCGUGAGAUGUUGGGUUAAGUCCCGCAACGAGCGCAACCCUUGUUUUUAGUUACCAACACUAAGAUGGGGACUCUAGAGAGACUGCCGGCGACAAACCGGAGGAAGGUGGGGAGGAUGUCAAAUCAUCAUGCCCCCUAUGGCCUGGGCUACACACGUACUACAAUGGCGUCUACAAAGAGCAGCGAGCAGGUGACUGUAAGCGAAUCUCAUAAAGGACGUCUCACUUCGGAUUGAAGUCUGCAACUCGCCUUCAUGAAGUCGGAAUCGCUAGUAAUCGCGGAUCAGCAUGCCGCGG